rnacentral:rRNA from 1 species
GCAUAUCAAUAAGCGGAGGAAAAGAAACCAACAGGGAUUGCCUCAGUAACGGCGAGUGAAGCGGCAACAGCUCAAAUUUGAAAUCUGGCCUCUUUGGGGUCCGAGUUGUAAUUUGUAGAGGAUGUUUCGGGCACCGCUCCGGUUUAAAUUUCUUGGAACAGAAUGUCAAAGAGGGUGAGAACCCCGUCUUGGACCGGCAGUAGGGCCCAUGUGAAACUCCUUCGACGAGUCGAGUUGUUUGGGAAUGCAGCUCAAAAUGGGUGGUAAAUUUCAUCUAAAGCUAAAUAUUGGCCAGAGACCGAUAGCGCACAAGUAGAGUGAUCGAAAGAUGAAAAGCACUUUGAAAAGAGAGUUAAACAGUACGUGAAAUUGUUGAAAGGGAAGCGCUUGCAACCAGACUUGCGCGCGGCGGUUCCCCCUUCCUUUUGGUUGGGUUAUUCCGCCGUGUCCAGGCCAACAUCGGUUCUGGGGGUCGGUUAAAGGCCUGGGGAAUGUAUCUACCCUUCGGGCGUAGACUUAUAGCCCCGGGUGUCAUGCGACCUCCCGGGACCGAGGAACGCGCUUCGGCUCGGAUGUUGGCGUAAUGGUUGUCAGCGACCCGUCUUGAAACACGGGACC